GUGAAUGUUGGCGGCAGGCCUAACACAUGCAAGUCGAGCGGCAGCGCGGUGUAGCAAUACACUGGCGGCGAGCGGCGGACGGGUGAGGAAUGCAUCGGAAUCUGCCUAUACGUGGGGGAUAACGUAGGGAAACUUACGCUAAUACCGCAUACGUCCUACGGGAGAAAGCGGGGGAUCGCAAGACCUCGCGCGGAUAGAUGAGCCGAUGCCGGAUUAGCUAGUUGGUAAGGUAACGGCUUACCAAGGCGAUGAUCCGUAGCCGGCCUGAGAGGGCGGUCGGCCACACUGACACUGACAUACGGGUCAGACUCCUACGGGAGGCAGCAGUCGGGAAUUUUGGGCAAUGGGCGAAAGCCUGACCCAGCAACGCCGCGUGAAGGAUGAAAUCCCUCGGGAUGUAAACUUCGCAAGAACGGGAAGAAUAAGUUGGUGUGAACAUCACCAACGAUGACGGUACCGUUUGUAAGCUCCGGCUAACUCCGUGCCAGCAGCCGCGGUAAUACGGGGGGAGCAAGCGUUGUUCGGAUUUACUGGGCGUAAAGGGCGCGUAGGCGGCACUGCAAGUCGACUGUGAAAUCUCCGGGCUUAACUCGGAAAGGUCAGCCGAUACUGCGGGGCUAGAGUGCAGAAGGGGCAACUGGAAUUCUCGGUGUAGCGGUGAAAUGCGUAGAUAUCGAGAGGAACACCUGCGGCGAAGGCGGGUUGCUGGGCUGACACUGACGCUGAUGCGCGAAAGCUAGGGGAGCGAACGGGAUUAGAUACCCCGGUAGUCCUAGCCUUAAACGAUGAAUGCUUGGUGUCUGGGGUUUUAUAGUCCCCGGGUGCCGUCGCUAACGCUUUAAGCAUUCCGCCUGGGGAGUACGGUCGCAAGACUGAAACUCAAAGGAAUUGACGGGGACCCGCACAAGCGGUGGAGCAUGUGGUUUAAUUCGACGCAACGCGAAGAACCUUACCUGGGCUAGAAUGCCUCUGACAACCCUAGAGAUAGGGCCUUCUGGGUAAAACCAGACAGAGUGCAAGGUGCUGCAUGGCUGUCGUCAGCUCGUGUCGUGAGAUGUUGGGUUAAGUCCCGCAACGAGCGCAACCCUUAUCAAUAGUUGCCAGCGGUUCGGCCGGGCACUCUAUUGAGACUGCCGUUGACAAAACGGAGGAAGGUGGGGAUGACGUCAAGUCCUCAUGGCCUUUAUGUCCAGGGCUACACACGUGCUACAAUGGCGAGUACAAAGCGCUGCAAAAGAGCAAUCUGGAGCCAAUCGCAAAAAGCUCGUCUCAGUUCGGAUUGGAGUCUGCAACUCGACUCCAUGAAGCUGGAAUCGCUAGUAAUCGCAGAUCAGCAUGCUGCGGUGAUACGUUCCCGGUCUUGUACAC
rnacentral:rRNA from 1 species